AACUGCACUGGUGUGAACGAUUGGUCAAUCUGUUCCCUUGACUGGAUUUGACCAUGAUGUUUUUUUUAACUUGACAGUUCUUACUCGAUGGUAAUGCUUUGCCACGGUGAUUAGUACAUUGUAUUCAAGAGGGCAGCUGGAUCUAUCAUCUAUGCAACGAUGCCUGGAUUUAGAUGAGCUGUAGUACAUAACUAGCUCUAACAUUGACGGUCAGCAGUAACAAGAUCUGGGGUUUGAGUAGUAUGCAUCAGCAACCCACAUGCAGCUGUUUUCUUUUCCCUGCAGUGUGAUCAUACGUACAAUUCAAUCAGUGAUUCAGUGCCACCUCAAAAAAGAUGCAAGUGUGUAGUGUAGCACAUUACAAUAGACCACCUCUGACAGCAAGUGAGUUUAUUCAUUGCAGAAAAACUGUAUCCUUUAACCUUUCUUCUUUAUUUUCAGCUCUCAUUUUUAUGACCUGAUACAAGUCGCUACAUACCCUUUGCUUAAUACAAAUAUACGCAAAGCUUAUGCUGUUCCUGCAUUUUUUUUUAAAAAAAAGCUAUUACAUAUAUUAUGUAUCCUCUUUGUUUUAGCCGUACUGCUGCUGCCUACCACCUUUGUUCAGAUAAGCUACUACUAACAAGCUGCAAUUAUAUUCUGUUUAUGGAUACUUUUUCAUGUUUACACUCCAGCAUCCAUGUGUACAUUCUCUACCUAUUGAAUAUACUCUAUGUACAGUUUAACCUGGCAAUUUCUGCUGAAUAUCUAUCUCAGGAUCUGUACCAUCUUCAGUAAAGGAAAAUAUAAUCCAGAAUGAAAUGAAAUUGGAUCUGCCCAAGCAGUAAGAGGGGACCCUUGCCCACCCUCAACCGCGGGCCGCAUUUAUUUCUGAAUUCAGAGGUGUCUGAAGUCAUCUUUCUCCUUGAUACGCAAACGAACUCCGCUGUUUUUAAUCAAGAGAACAAGGUGGAGCUCUAGCUUGGAGUGUAUUUGAUCUCAUGCGACUCUAAUCAAUGCGCUUUGCUGUUGAUGGGGAUCUGCAGAUAUGAAGGCUACAGCGAUGCUUCUCGAUCGAUGCUUUUGUUCUUAAUACAUGUCACCUUCAGGGCGAUCCAACCACGGCAAAUUAAUCAUUUGAUGAUGGAUACUACACUCUCCAAAUGCAACUAAGUCGAGGUUGAUAGGGUGUCACUGUCUCACGAGAUCCCUAAUGUACAUAUAAUGCUCUGAUGACAGUGAUGUUGGGGAAUUAAUGGGAACUGAUAUAUCUUAAUCAUGGCCACACUACUCUUCAUAGACAAGCUAUAGACAGUACUGAUACAGUUGGCCUAUGGACUAAUGGAGUAUGUCUUAAUGCAGGCAGCAAUGAAGCACGCAUUAAGUUUGUCUAGCACUGUUAAAUUAAUGCUAAUUAGGAUGCACUUGGAGAGCUGUUUCCAGUGAUAAUCCAUGCCAUGCCGCCCUACUACUCUACUAUGUUUAUGCUUGUAUAAUGAGGUUAACUAACGUGGUGUAUAUAUGCAUAAUAUCGUGUAA